UAUCACCCUUGAUGUGAUUAAAAAAAGAAAAAAUUGUUCUCUCUCUCUCAAAGAGCCUAGUCAACCUCUACGACUUGCUUUCACUUUUUGAUGUUCCAUAAUAAACCAACACAUAUGCAACAUUUUCUUUCUUCAUCUAUCUCGUUGGAGAUGUGGAUGAUGCAGAUAUAGAAAGUAGUGAUCAAUACCCAUCUCUUUUAAACUCCUCAAAGCUUAAUUACUACUUCACCAUUUUUCAACUCAGCUAGCUAGGCUAAUCCAUUCCAAAACUAGAACUCUCUUUACUAGCAUCAAUAUCUACUAUAUAUAAACAACUUCUACUACCUUUUUCAUAAAGUUAGGCAUUUGCAUAUUUUUUUGAAUCACCUUCUUAUUGCAUGCUAUUCCUCUUCUUGCUAAUUCAACACCAUUUUUGCAGCCCCAUCAUAUCAGCACACACAUUCCCUUCUGAGGAAAAAAGAGAGAAGCAAUUUAUUACUCUUCUUCUUGUUUUAUUGUCUUGUUCUGCAGCUACAAAUCCAUAUCAUACCCAUUUUCAUUGGGAGAGAUCUUUAGUGCUUGAGUUUUUUGUUGCAUCAAAAUGUGGAUGAUGGGUUAUAGUGAUGGUGGAGAGUUCAACAUGCCAGAUUCUUUCAGUGGAAGAAAGCUUAAGCCACUCAUUCCUAGGACUCCACCAGUGCCUUCUCCAAACAAUACUUCAAACUCUAGCCCUCCUAGACUUGGCCGUAUCAAUGGCAACGAUUUCUUUUCACUAAAUCACCAUCUGGCUACUAUGGCUGAUCAAAGCAAAAGAGAUUUCCAUGCACAAUCAGUUGUAGUGAGUUCAAGAUGGAAUCCAACUCCAGAACAGUUAAGGACCCUGGAAGAACUGUAUCGAAGAGGAACAAGAACCCCAUCAGCAGAGCAAAUUCAACACAUCACUGCACAGCUUCGAAGAUAUGGAAAGAUUGAAGGGAAGAAUGUGUUCUACUGGUUUCAAAAUCACAAGGCAAGAGAACGGCAAAAACGACGACGUCAAAUGGAAUCUGCAGCUCCUGAUCAUCAGCAGCAGAACCGUGAUAUAGAAAUCUUUGAAACGAAAGAAUCAGGGGCAAGUAGGACAACAUAUGAAGGUGAACAGACCAAGAACUGGGCUCCCUCUACAAACUGCAGUACACUACCAGAGGUCUAUUCUUUUAUCUUCCUUUGUCUCUCUCCAUUGGACUAAAUCCCCUAAAGGGUGCAUAAUUACAACCAAUUAAGCUUUGAUUAUGAGCUUAUCAUUGCAAUAUCUUCCUUUUCUUUUAAAACAAGAGUUGAAAAAUUAAAUUUAUAUAUAUAUAUACACAUACGGAGGGGAAGAGAAGAAGCAAGAAAGAAUUCUUUUGUAUGUUGGGAAAUGAUAAGGGUUUAAAAGCUGCAAUCCAUCCUUUCUGUCGCGGCUGCUGCUGUUAUGAGACUAGCUGGGUUUUCUUGCUUUUUGGGUCUUGUGCUUAUUAUGGGUCUCAUGGCAUUUAGGCCACUUAUCACUUGGGCACCCCUUUUACACAUAUUCUUUGGAUUAGGGGCACCCAUCUUGUUGUAAAAAGACACCCCUAACCCUAAACACAAUUCCUUCUGUCCCUUACUAUUAAUUAUGAAGUAUAUUGUGAAAAUUCAGUUUUCUUAUUAGGGUAUUUAAUUAAAAAUCUUGCAUGGUGUUUUAUUAAAAUUUCAGGAAGCCAUGUCAAUACAAAGGGCAGCAAAAGGAGUGGUAGCAGAAUGUAGAGGAGAUGGAUGGAUCCAAUACGAUGAAGUAGAAUUACAGCAUAGAAGGAACUUUAUGGAAAGGAAUGACACAUGGCAGAUGAUGCAGUUGUCAUGUCCAUCUCCCACCCACCUCAUAAACGCUAGCUCUGGCACUUGUACUAUUACUACUACAACAACAACUGCUACAAUCCUAGCAGGAGCAGAAGCAACAUCUACAGUAGUAGCAGGAACAAUAAGAACAAUGGACCCAAAUAGGCAACUCAUCAAGACCCAUACUGAUCUUAAUAUCUUCAUAGCUCCCUACAUAGAAAAUAAUAUUGGGCCUGGCCUUAUUAACCACUUCAGCAAUGAAGAAGAUCAUAAUGGGUAUGGGGAUUCUCACCAAACACUUCAACUCUUUCCUCUUCGUAAUAAUGGUGGUGAAAGCAUUAAUGACAAAGAAACUGAAACUUCAUCAGCAGUUGCUGCAGCCAUGAAUGCCAACUUCACUACUCCUUAUCAGUUUUUUGAAUUCCUUCCAUUGAAGAACUAAUUACCCACCAAAGCUUUUAGCUUUUUUUUUUUUGGCUCCACUUUAUGAGAUUUUGGCUAUGUUUGUCAAAUGAUGGGUUGUGUUAUGGAUUUCUGUAUUAUUGUUGGAAAUUGGGACUUUAUUUUUUCUUGAAGAUGAUGUUUACAUUUCAUGGAAUUGGUGGAAUGGUCUGUGUGGGGAUAUGAAAGAAAGGCUUGCCCUAAAAUGCAUUUGACCAUGUUGGUUGAAUCAAUGAAGAAACUACAUUUAAUAGGGAUUUCACAGAGGUUAAU
rnacentral:misc_RNA from 1 species